GCUCGGUUAGCUCAGUUGGUUAGAGCGUCGUACUAAUAUCUUCGGUCCGCUUCGAUCGGAAAUAUUAAGUAAAUGCGAAGGUCAUGAGUUCAACCCUCAUACUGAGCA
rnacentral:tRNA from 1 species